UUUGAGUGAUUUUUAUAAUGCUUAGGCUGAACUUUUGUUUGGCCAACAAACUAUUAAACAUUUGUGGGUAUAAAAUUGAAAAAUUUAAAACUUUCAACAACGGAUCUCUUGGUUCUCGCAUCGAUGAAGAACGCAGCGAAACGCGAUAUGUAAUGUGAAUUGCAGAAUGUGAAUCAUCGAAUCUUUGAACGCACAUUGCGCUCUCUGGUAUUCCAGAGAGCAUACCUGUUUGAGCGUCAGUUCAUUCUCAAAGGAAACUUUGGUAUUGGCUGAAUAAGAGUAUUGGCUGAAAGAUAUUGGUUAGAACGAUGUAAUAAGAUUUCAUCUAGCUAACUUUAUAAAAAAUCUUUUUAAGUUGACCUCAAAUCAGGUAAGAUU
rnacentral:rRNA from 1 species